rnacentral:ncRNA from 1 species
UCGAUGGCCCGAGGUAGAGCACUCAAUGGGCUAGGGUGGCCCCCAUUUCGCUUUACCAACCCCAGGGAAACUCCGAAUACAGGCCGUCAUCCUUAGUACAGACAGACUGAUUGGGUGCUAAGAUCCAAAGUCGAGAGGGAAACAGCCCAGAUCGGACGCUAAGGUCCCUAAGCAAUCACUUAGUGGAAAAGGAAGUGAUCGAGCGAUGACAACCAGGAGGUGGGCUUGGAAGCAGCCAUCCUUUGAAGAAAGCGUAAUAGCUCACUGGUCUAGCUCCAUGGCACCGAAAAUGUCUCAGGGCUCAAGUGAUUCACCG